GCCUGCGUGCAUUCAAGUUUCCAGCAAGGACCGGCGCGAGCUGCUGCGUCCUUGCCACAACCCGGUCCAGGAAUGCCCCGCCUCUGGAAUGCCUGGCCACACCCCUGUCGUGCCCCUCCCAGCCCCAUUGGCGCUACGCCACAGUUUGAAUCCCACCACCAUGGGAACCU